CACGUAGGGAGCAAGCGUUGUCCGGAAUCAUUGGGCGUAAAGCGCGCGUAGGUGGCCAUGUAAGUCCGCUGUGAAAGUCAAAGGCUCAACCUUUGAAAGCCGGUGGAUACUGCAUGGCUAGAGUACGGAAGAGGCGAGUGGAAUUCCUGGUGUAGCGGUGGAAUGCGCAGAUAUCAGGAGGAACACCAAUAGCGAAGGCAGCUCGCUGGGACGUUACUGACACUGAGGCGCGAAAGCGUGGGGGAGCGAAACAGG
rnacentral:rRNA from 1 species